rnacentral:rRNA from 1 species
AUGGGGUGACUGCGUACCUUUUGUAUAAUGGGUCAGCGACUUAUAUUCUGUAGCAAGGUUAACCGUAUAGGGGAGCCGUAGGGAAACCGAGUCUUAACUGGGCGAAUGAGUUGCAGGGUAUAGACCCGAAACCCGGUGAUCUAUCCAUGGGCAGGUUGAAGGUUGGGUAACACUAACUGGAGGACCGAACCGACUAAUGUUGAAAAAUUAGCGGAUGACUUGUGGAUGGGGGUGAAAGGCCAAUCAAACCGGGAGAUAGCUGGUUCUCCCCGAAAGCUAUUUAGGUAGCGCCUCGUGAACUCAUCUUCGGGGGUAGAGCACUGUUUCGACUAGGGGGUCAUCCCGACUUACCAACUCGAUGCAAACUGCGAAUACCGAAGAAUGUUAUCACGGGAGACACACGGCGGGUGCUAACGUCCGUCGUGAAGAGGGAAACAACCCAGACCGCCAGCUAAGGUCCCAAAGUCAUGGUUAAGUGGGAAACGAAGUGGGAAGGCUCAGACAGCCAGGAUGUUGGCUUAGAAGCAGCCAUCAUUUAAAGAAAGCGUAAUAGCUCACUGGUCGAGUCGGCCCGCGCGGAAGAUGUAACGGGGCUAAACCAUGCACCGAAGCUGCGGCAGCGACACAAAGUGUUGUUGGGUAGGGGAGCGUUCUGUAAGCCUGCGAAGGUGUACUGUGAGGUAUGCUGGAGGUAUCAGAAGUGCGAAUGCUGACAUAAGUAACGAUAAUGCGGGUGAAAAACCCGCACGCCGGAAGACCAAGGGUUCCUGUCCAACGUUAAUCGGGGCAGGGUGAGUCGACCCCUAAGGCGAGGCUGAAAAGCGUAGUCGAUGGGAAACGGGUUAAUAUUCCCGUACUGGUGGUAACUGCGAUGGGGGAACGGAGAAGGCUAGGUUGUCCGGGCGACGGUCGUCCCGGUUCAAGCAGGUAGGCAGAGUGAUUAGGCAAAUCCGGUCACUUAAUGCUGAGAUGUGAUGACGAACCACUAAGGUGGUGAAGCAAUUGAUGCCCCGCUUCCAGGAAAAGCCUCUAAGCUUCAGGUUACCAACAAUCGUACCCCAAACCGACACAGGUGGUCAGGUAGAGAAUACUCAGGCGCUUGAGAGAACUCGGGUGAAGGAACUAGGCAAAAUGGUGCCGUAACUUCGGGAGAAGGCACGCUGGCGGUA